rnacentral:rRNA from 1 species
AUCAUUACCGAGUUAUCCAACUCCCAACCCCUGUGAAUCAUACCUUUAAUUGUUGCUUCGGCGGGACUUCGCGCCCGCCGGGGACCCAAACCUUCUGAAUUUUUUAAUAAGUAUCUUCUGAGUGGUUAAAAAAAAUGAAUCAAAACUUUCAACAACGGAUCUCUUGGUUCUGGCAUCGAUGAAGAACGCAGCGAAAUGCGAUAAGUAAUGUGAAUUGCAGAAUUCAGUGAAUCAUCGAAUCUUUGAACGCACAUUGCGCCCGUCAGUAUUCUGGCGGGCAUGCCUGUUCGAGCGUCCCCCCGCCCCUCAAGUCCCCUGUGGACUUGGUGUUGGGGAUCGGCGAGGCUGGUUUUCCAGCACAGCCGUCCCUUAAAUUAAUUGGCGGUCUCGCCGUGGCCCUCCUCUGCGCAGUAGUAAAGCACUCGCAACAGGAGCCCGGCGCGGUCCACUGCCGUAAAACCCCCCUAAACUUUUAUAGUUGACCUCGAAUCAGGUAGGACUA